rnacentral:rRNA from 1 species
GGCAAACGGGUGCGUAACACGUACGCAACCUUCCUUCAGGCGGGGAAUAGCCCGGGGAAACCCGGAUUAAUACCCCAUAAAAUCUUGGAAUGGCAUCAUUCUAUUAUUAAAGCUUCGGCACCUGAUGAUGGGCGUGCGGCUGAUUAGGUAGUUGGCGGGGUAACGGCCCACCAAGCCAGCGAUCAGUAGCUGAUGUGAGAGCAUGAUCAGCCACACGGGCACUGAGACACGGGCCCGACUCCUACGGGAGGCAGCAGUAAGGAAUAUUGGUCAAUGGACGACAGUCUG